rnacentral:rRNA from 1 species
CCCUUAGAUGUCCUGGGCUGCACGCGCGCUACACUGGAAGUUACGGAUUGAGAUACUGCCUUGUCCGAAAUGGUCCGGGUAAUCACCUAAAAGCUUGUCAUAAUUGGAAUGGAUUAUUGUAACUAGUAAUCCUGAACGAGGAAUUCCUAGUAAGUCCCAGUCAACAGCUGGUACUGAUUACGUCCCUGCCCUUUGUACACACCGCCCGUCGCUACUACUGAUUGGACGUUUAAGCAAGAUUUUUAAACACUGACAGUGUGUAGUUCACGCUAUACUACAGUGAGAAGAAGAAGAUCGAGCUUACUUGUCUAGAGGAAGUAAAAGUCGUAACA